rnacentral:misc_RNA from 1 species
UUAAGUUCAGCGGGUAUCCCUACCUGAUCCGAGGUCAACAUUUAGAAAAUUUAGUUAAGACUGGUGCCCAACUUCCAUCAUUGCGACAUCUGUGCGCUUGUGGUUAUCGGUUACCAUCGCUAAUUUUUAGGCAUGCCCUUACAGCAGUGCCCAACAUCAAACCUAAGCUUGAGGGGUGUAAUGACGCUCGAACAGGUAUG